rnacentral:rRNA from 1 species
AUUGAACGCUGGCGGCAGGCCUAACACAUGCAAGUCGAGCGGAUGAAGGGAGCUUGCUCCUGGAUUCAGCGGCGGACGGGUGAGUAAUGCCUAGGAAUCUGCCUGGUAGUGGGGGAUAACGUCCGGAAACGGGCGCUAAUACCGCAUACGUCCUGAUGGAGAAAGUGUGGGAUCUUCGGACCUCACGCUAUCAGAUGAGCCUAGGUCGGAUUAGCUAGUUGGUGGGGUAAAGGCCUACCAAGGCGACGAUCCGUAACUGGUCUGAGAGGAUGAUCAGUCACACUGGAACUGAGACACGGUCCAGACUCCUACGGGAGGCAGCAGUGGGGAAUAUUGGACAAUGGGCGAAAGCCUGAUCCAGCCAUGCCGCGUGUGUGAAGAAGGUCUUCGGAUUGUAAAGCACUUUAAGUUGGGAGGAAGGGCAGUAAGUUAAUACCUUGCUGUUUUGACGUUACCAACAGAAAAAGCACCGGCUAACUUCGUG